rnacentral:rRNA from 1 species
AUGCUGCUGGAGAUUUUUGGAUCUGGAAUGAGACUAACACGGAAUAAUGACUGGGUUCUAAGAUUGCUCUUUGUUGACCGAUCUGCUUAUGCAUCCUUUGUCCUGGCAAGCAACAUUGCAGUAAAAGGAGUGAAUAACUGGGGCAGGCCAAAUUGGCUCCGCGUCCUCCCUUGUGCCAGUAAUUAUUUCUGCACCUCCAUCUAUGCCACCAAAGGCAAACAAUUUGCCAUCACCAAGGGGAUGAACAGAUCAGAGAUGAAGGGGCGAACGAAGCAAGUCCUUGUUGGCCAUGCCUCUUAUCCUGUAUCUGAAGCCAACAUCUUUAAGAAAACCACCCAUCGGGAUGGUUCUAUAUACAAGAUAAACUAUGGUAUUCUAAAGCUAUGGCGUCUUACUCAACGUGCACAACUAGAGCCGAUGAUGUUCUCGAAUCCCACGAAUUGUUUCCCGGAUAGGGAUAGAUGCAUGGUACAUUCUGCAACUGCUAUGUUGCAGAUUUUCUCGCUGAAAUUGGAAAAAGCUAGUACCAACAUCGGCUUGGUACAACUAUAUGGAUAUAUAGCAGCGCGUGAUCGUUAUGAUUCAUUGCUUAAUUAUGUCUUCAGUCGUAGCAGAGAUGAUCCCAUCAUUGUUGAACAGGGUUCUCUUAUUGAGAUGACUGGCCCUAAGAGAGGCAUCACAAUGGUAGCCCCUGCUCUAGUUGAGUUUGACAUGAGGAUCAAGAAAGGAAAGCAAGAAGAUGAUCUACAACUAAUUGAUGGUGCAAUGGAGUACCAUGAUCUAGUCACACCUGAGUAUCCAUUCACGCAUCGGAUUAAUGGAGAUUGUGGUGCGGUUGACAUCACUUUAGCCCUCGUUCGUUGGGCAUUUGAGGCCACAAUAGAUGUUGUCAUAUCAAAAGUGCAGUGUGGAUUUGAUUUAUCUCUCAGUUCGUGUGUUGUCGUUAUGAAUGGAUUACAUGAGAUUCAACUCUUUCGUGGCAGUUUUGUUGAGUCAUGUGGCUUAAGAAGAUAUGUGAUUGCUGUAAAAAAGGAUACUUUGAUGCAUUUGAAGUUCAAGGUAGGUCAAAAUAGUUGUAAAAAUGAUCUUGAUCAUCAUUGUUCUUUCAAAGCAAAAAAACAUGGGUACGACUAUCAGCAAAUCGUGCUUGAGCUUGCCUCUAUCUCAGUGAAGGUGACUUGGUCGAACUUGCAAAGGUAA